rnacentral:rRNA from 1 species
GAUGAACGCUGGCGGCGUGCCUAAUACAUGCAAGUCGAGCGAACAGACGAGGAGCUUGCUCCUCUGACGUUAGCGGCGGACGGGUGAGUAACACGUGGAUAACCUACCUAUAAGACUGGGAUAACUUCGGGAAACCGGAGCUAAUACCGGAUAAUAUAUUGAACCGCAUGGUUCAAUAGUGAAAUACGGUUUUUCUGUCACUUAUAGAUGGAUCCGCGCCGCAUUAGCUAGUUGGUAAGGUAACGGCUUAGCAAGGCAACGAUGCGUAGCCGACCUGAGAGGGUGAUCGGCCACCCUGGAACUGAGACACGGUCCCGACUCCUACGGGAGGCAGCAGUAGGGAAUCUUACGCAAUGGGCGAAAGCCUGACGGAGCAACGCCGCGUGAGUGAUGAAGGUCUUCGGCUCGUAAAACUCUGUUAUUAGGGAAGAACAAAUGUGUAAGUAACUAUGCACGUCUUGACGGUACCUAAUCAGAAAGCCACGGCUAACUACGUG